UGGGGAAUAUUGCACAAUGGGCGAAAGCCUGAUCCAGCAAUGCCGCGUGUGUGAAGAAGGCCUUCGGGUUGUAAAGCACUUUUGUCCGGAAAGAAAUCCUUGGCUCUAAUACAGUCGGGGGAUGACGGUACCGGAAGAAUAAGCACCGGCUAACUACGUGCCAGCAGCCGCGGUAAUACGUAGGGUGCAAGCGUUAAUCGGAAUUACUGGGCGUAAAGCGUGCGCAGGCGGUUUGCUAAGACCGAUGUGAAAUCCCCGGGCUCAACCUGGGAACUGCAUUGGUGACUGGCAGGCUAGAGUAUGGCAGAGGGGGGUAGAAUUCCACGUGUAGCAGUGAAACGCGUAGAGAUGUGGAGGAAUACCGAUGGCGAAGGCAGCCCCCUGGGCCAAUACUGACGCUCAUGCACGAAAAGCGUGGGGAGCAAAACAGGAUUAGAUACCCUGGUAGUCCACGCCCUAAACGAUGUCAACUAGUUGUUGGGGAUUCAUUUCCUUAGUAACGUAGCUAACGCGUGAAGUUGACCGCCUGGGGAGUACGGUCGCAAGAUUAAAACUCAAAUGAAUUGACGGGGUCAUAGCUGUUUCCU
rnacentral:rRNA from 1 species